AUGAAUUAUUUGGGAAUCUUGUUAAAAGGUAGAUUCUAAUUCCAUAUAUCUGGAGGAAGCUGAGAGUCUGUGAUUCUAAUGAGCCCCUAGAAGAGGUCAUA
rnacentral:pre_miRNA from 1 species